CACAGCUCAAAUUUGAAAUCUGGCCCCUCGGGGUCCGAGUUGUAAUUUGUAGAGGAUGCUUUUGGUGAGGUGCCGCCCGAGUUCCCUGGAACGGGACGCCACAGAGGGUGAGAGCCCCGUCUGGCUGGCCACCGAGCCUCUGUAAAGCUCCUUCGACGAGUCGAGUAGUUUGGGAAUGCUGCUCAAAAUGGGAGGUAUAUGUCUUCUAAAGCUAAAUAUUGGCCAGAGACCGAUAGCGCACAAGUAGAGUGAUCGAAAGAUGAAAAGCACCUUGAAAAGAGGGUUAAAUAGUACGUGAAAUUGUUGAAAGGGAAGCGCUUGUGACCAGACUUGGGCGCGGCGGAUCAUCCGGGGUUCUCUCCGGUGCACUUCGCCGCGUCUAGGCCAGCAUCAGUUCGUCGCGGGGGAAAAAGGUUUCGGGAACGUGGCUCCUCCGGGAGUGUUAUAGCCCGUUGCAUAAUACCCUGCGGUGGACUGAGGACCGCGCAUCUGCAAGGAUGCUGGCGUAAUG
rnacentral:rRNA from 1 species